UUCACACGCAGAGUUUAAAAAUCGUCAACCGCCACAGAUUUUCCGGCGGUGAAGAAUGGAAUCGACCGUGGAAGCCCCGUUUUCUCUUCGUCGCCGCCGGUCGCAUCUCCCGAGUCGUACGUAUCUCUCUCUGGUUCGUAUCUUCUCCGGUUUCAGUGGCAAGUCUCGUGUUUCUCUUGCUACACCGUCCGUGCUUCAGGAGCUGGUCCUAAGAUCAGAUGAUAAUGUGGAUAACGAAGCUGCUCAAGUGUCUCUGAAAGAAACAUGUGAACCUGGUGAAAUUUGUCCUCCUUCGGGUAACACUGAGCCGGAGAAUUCAUCAAUGCUGGAAGCAAGAACCCCUCAAGAUCAGUCUGGUGCGGCUCAGUGUCGUAAAGAUGUAGGGCUUGGUGAGUCGAGAGACGUUCCGGACUAUACGGAAAAUGUAAUGGCGGACAAGAUGGAUACUGAAUACCUGGAAAACAGUUUGAUGCCUGGCAAUAACUUUGACGCAACUGAUUUGCAGGAUGGAAUGGAUGGUCGGAGCCAGAAAAUAAUGGAUGAGUUAGAGCUUAUGUUAAAUGAAGAGGAUGACCUUCUCCCAGAAGAUUGCAUGAAUCUCCUUGAAAUAUUGGAAGUGAGUGAUGGUAGUUCCAAUAUGAUUGCAUCACUGGAGGACAAUGCCAAAGAACCUCUAGAUCCUCGUAUCACAAGUGAAAUUCAAGGUGAUCUGGAAGAGGGCAAUAAGAAGAUGUCUGAAUCGUUCGAUUUACCUCCAGGAAAAGGUAUGGCGGAGGAUGGUAAUAGUAGUCAUGGCUUUGCGACCAAUGUUACUCAGAUGAUCAGAGAUGAAGAUAUUGAAGAAGGAGAGAUUUUUGGGGAUGUUAACAUUAAUUAUGACGAUCUGCAUUUGGGAGAAGAUGAACCAGUGGAAAGGAUGGAUGAGGAGCAAGUUACUGAUGAUACAAUCGAUGAUGGAGGGACCAAUGACAUCUAUAGUGCUAAUAGACAAAAUUUGAGUUCUAUUCCCUCCAAUGCAGUUGUAUCACUUCCUGAAGUUGUUUGCGAAAAGGGACGAAAACUUGAUGCUGAGGUAGGCAAUUUGGAUGAUCAUAUGACAGAUGAUGAGAAAGUAAAAAGCAGAGGGAGUGGGAGUCAUGAAACUUCUUGCAAAGACAAGAAUUCAAAUGUUGGUUCUGCUAAGAAGAAAAGGUCUGCUCGCUCCGAGAAAAACAAUUCUAAGAAGAAGGCAAAUUUCCGGAAGAGACGAGCUGAAGAACGCAGAUUGCUUGGUGUUAAAAGGCUGAAGCUGAAACCAGUAGUUGCGAAACCGAAGGUUAUAAAGUAUUGCUGUCAUUAUCUGAAGGGACGAUGCCAGAAGGGAGAAAAUUGCCGAUAUUCCCACGAUAUAGUACCCUUGACCAAAUCUUCGCCAUGCUGCUACUUUGCAACUCAGUCAUGUAUGAAAGGGGAAGAUUGUCCAUUCGACCACGAUCUUUCCAAAUACCCUUGCAAUAACUUCACUACCAAAGGUUUCUGCCACAGAGGCGAUAAUUGUUUGUUUUCCCACAAGGGUACCCCUGGGUGUGCUUUGGACGCAUCAAAGUCAGGGACACCAAACGCAAGCGGACCCUCCUCCCUUAACAGCGUUUCUGCAGCAUCUUUCUCAUUUGGGGUUUCUCCUCAGAAUACAAAUAAACCAACCACGACCAAACCUCCAACCGCAUUCCCAUCAAGACUUUCUAGCCCAGUUUCGUUUAUGAAGACAUCGUCUCCAAAGACCAACGAACAUGAGAAAGCGGGGACUCCUCCCCGGAAACCCUCCGUGCCUCCAAAGGGUAUAAGCUUUCUAUCUUUAGACAAAACUUCAUCAGGGAACAUCCCCAAAAUGCCGCAGCACGAGCAAGCUAGUUCCCCUUCCGUAGAAAAUAUUUUGAAAGAUGCGCUUCAGAAGACCACAUCCAAAACUACACCAAUCACUGGCAAUCCUCUUCCUCCCGCAUCGUCGUCGUCACCACCAAAGGGAAUCAGCUUCCUGUCAUUCGGAAGCGACAGAUUCAAGGGGAAGACUCUAGCAAAUGCACCAGACGGACAGCAUGAGCGUCAAAUGUCUUCGCAACCAUCGACAAGUGGACAGUUAAAGGCCACACCAAUCUUUCAAACUCAGAAGACACUUAUAUCAGCCCUGAAACUCGCUGCGGAAUUGGAUCCUGGGAAGACUAAGAAAUGCACGAAUGAUCCCGCAGCUGUAAAUAAGCUCGAUACAGAUAACAAGGGCGAUGCCGCACACUCAAGGAACAACUCUUCGAAAAUCUUGGAAUUCUUGGCGAGCCUCAGCUGAGAACCGAUGACAGGGAAAAAGAGGCAGUUCUGCAAUCAUUUGAUGUCUGGCUUUCACUUAAGAUGAGGCCUUGCCUAGAGCAUCUUGCAGUUCCAUGUACCUUUGCUUCUUCUGGAGCCGUUCCUCUAUAGUGUCGUUUUCUAUGCAAGCCAGUUGCGACAAGUCUUCCGCAUCCAUGAUCUGAUCGAGUACCGCUGAGCAUCUCGGGAAGUAGCAUUUCCCGAGCUCCACUGUGUUAAAAAGAUGAAAAACAAGGAAAAAAAAA